AAGAGCAUGUCGGGGAUGGAGCAUGGAGCCCUUGAGCAGGAUCCCUGUCAGCAGCACGGUGAGGGCAGCCUGGCUCACAGGUCAGGGAGCAGACAGGGACCACUGCAGGAAGCUGGAGGCACCAGGACUGGAGACAUGUAUGGAGAGCAGCUGUUCCAGGCAGAGGGAGAUCUGGGGUUGUUCUUUGGUGGCGAUCGGGAUGCAAGAGGUGAGGAUGCGGCACAUCUGCCCGCAGGUAAGGAAUUGCACACGGAGCAAGGUGGGGAGCUGAUGUACCAUGCACCAUGAUUUGUGUGCCCUGAAGACAGUCACAUGCAAGAG